GACAGAGGGUGCAAACGUUGUUCGGAAUUACUGGGCGUAAAGCGAGUGUAGGCGGUCUGUAAAGUCGGGGGUGAAAGCCUGUGGCUCAACCACAGAAUUGCCUUCGAUACUGUAGAGCUCGAGACCGGAAGAGGUAAGUGGAACUGCGAGUGUAGAGGUGAAAUUCGUAGAUAUUCGCAAGAACACCAGUGGCGAAGGCGGCUUACUGGUCCGGUUCUGACGCUGAGGCGCGAAAGCGUGGGGAGCAAACAGG
rnacentral:rRNA from 1 species